ACCCCCCCCCCCCCAUGUGUGUAUGAGUUUUUUAAAUAACUUUUCUUUCAGAUAUGCAGAAUCCGCUAGCAAUUCUAUAAUCAUACAAUAUUAUUUGUACAUCAGUAAGUGUUGCUUACAGUUUGCGAAAUUAUUGGUUCCGGGGUGUAGCCUUGAUCUUCUGCUUGAAGUAUUAGCUUAUAAUUUCCUUAUUUUAGUAUGGUUUAUCAAAUAUAUCGCUUUUUCUUCUGUUAUGAGAAACAUAAAACGAUUACAAAAAUAUAUCCAAAAUAAUUGGAGCAUUCUGGCAGACGAUCGAGAGAUUAAUAUAAUGUACAAAUAUACAAACAUUGGAAAACAAUCUACAAUAGUUAUAGCAACAUGCGUCUAUUUUGGAAUUAUUGGUUUCACUAUGGUACAAUAUAUUCCGGAUUUACUUGAUUUUGUAAUGCCUUUAAAUGAAUCUCGUCCACGUAUACUUCUCCAUCAGGCGAAAAAUUUUAUCGACCACCAAAAAUAUUUUCAUAUCUUAAUAAUACAUGAUGUUAUUGGGAUACUCCUUGUUGGAACUACUGGAAUAGCUGCUGAAUCAUUUUCAUUAGUAAACGCAAUACAUGCUUUCGGAAUGUUUAAAAUUGCUAGUUAUCGUAUGGAACGUAUGUUAAGCAUAGAUGUUUCACAAAUAUCCAUAGCCAAAAGCUAUAUUAUAUUCCAUGAUAGGCUAAGUGCCGCAGUGGACAUUCACAGAAGAGCGCUUAAGUUUUCGGACUUAUUAAAAGUAAGCUUGGGACCAUCGUAUCUACUUAUGAUGGUAACAGCUAUAUGUUCAGCAAUAGUUUCUUUCUUUCGUGUACGUAUAUACUGGUUAUAUAUAAUUAUGAUCGCUAGUUUUAUAAGUAUUGAAAUCAUCGAUUUUACUUCCAGCUAUUUCGAAUAGUGACGCUGCAUCAGGAAAAAAUGGAAAUUAUUAAAUUAAUUUGUUAUGUGAUUUUUCUUUUUUUAUUUAUAGUUAUAGGUAAUUUUGUUGGGCAAGAAUUUAUAAAUCACGACGAGCAUGUCCAUCACACGAUGUAUGUCAUGUAUUUAAUAUAUCCUUUUACAACCCGUAAUAUUGCAUCAAAAAUUUGUACAUACCUAUAUCGGUUCUAUAUAAAAAUAUGAUGUAAUACGAAAUGGUACCAGACCCCAUUAAAGAUACAAAAAUUUGUACUUUUUGUGAUGAGAAAAACUACAAAAACUUACAAAGUUGAUGCUGGUGGUUUGUUUAGUCCCUCUUUGGAAACUUUGGCCACGGUUCGAAAUCAUAUUAUUAAUAAAUAUAAUCAUCAUAUCAUUCAGCUUCUUAAAUAAUACUUUUUCGUUUUAGAGCAUGAGUUUAAUGCUUUCGUGUCUGACGCUUUUAUGUUCCAUACAACAAUAACUUCAGUUGUAAAAGAUACAUCGAUAAAUUUUAUAAUCUUAUGGAGACACAUGAUAAUGUUAUUGGAUCUCUCACAAUCAUAUCAAUUUUAACAAAAUAUUUUUAAUAAGCAAUGUGAUUAAAGAUUUUAAUUAAAAAAAUAUUAUCUUGAUUCCUUUGUUUCUAACUUUACACUGUUUCGUACACACACACACUUACACACAACUAUGUAUACUUCUCAUAAUCGUUUUCGAAUAAAAAUAUUUCUUGUAUUAUAUUGUGCCAAAUAAAAACAAUAUACUUAUUAUUGUAAGCAAAGAAGUCAUCAUCACGUCAUGUUU